CAGCGACCAGCGACCAGCUCACUCCAGCCCCCGAGUCCAACCGGGGCCGUACACUCCAGCUUGACCCCACCGGUCAGUCGCCUCCCCCACCUACUCGAUGCAGCCCGCCGCCUCCCAUGUGACCUCCACCCUCCGCCGCCGCCUCCUCUCCGCCUCCCGGCGGCCUCCCUGCCUCGCCCCUCCGACCUCCCCGCCCGUCUCCCGCCUCCCCGUCUCCUGCGGAGCCGUGACGGAGGAGAGGGGCCCAUGGAGCUCGCCGGCGACGACCUCGAGCUGCUCCCCCACCGCCCCGCCGCCGGCUGCUGCUCCCGCCCCCCGCCCCCUCUCCGCUCCCGUCGCCGGGAAGUGGCCGCACCACCAGCUCCACCGCCUCAACGUCCCCGACCACCAGGUUGAUCCGAUGAGAGUAGGACUCCGAAGUCUGACCAGCAAUUCCGCUCCAACCAGAGUCAACUACGGCCAUAGGUGCUCCAAUGCAUAUUCGACUUGUUGUGCUACAAAGCCAGAAGUGCAACCAGUGGAAACACCGUCAUCGGAUAUGCUUGUCGAUUCGUUCGGGAGGUUCCACAACUACUUGAGGAUCUCCUUGACCGAGCGCUGUAACCUGAGAUGUCAGUACUGCAUGCCUGCCGAAGGAGUCGAGCUCACACCGAAGGCAGAGCUUCUGUCACAUGAUGAGAUAAUCCGAAUUGCAAAUCUUUUUGUUACUUCUGGUGUGGACAAGAUCAGGUUAACUGGUGGAGAACCAACCGUUAGAAAAGACCUUGAAGAUAUUUGCUUGCAUCUUUCUGGCCUAAAGGGGCUGAAAACUAUUGCGAUGACCACAAAUGGCAUCGUUCUUUCCAAGAAGCUCCCGAGACUGAAAGAAUGUGGUCUUAGCGCUUUAAAUAUUAGCUUGGACACAUUAAUCCCUGCAAAGUUUGAAUUCAUGACGAGGCGUAAAGGGCACUCGAAGGUCAUGGAAUCAAUAGAUACUGCCAUACAACUUGGAUAUGACCCCGUUAAGAUUAACUGUGUUAUCAUGCGUGGAAUGAAUGAUGAUGAAAUUUGCGAUUUUGUUGAAUUGACUAGACACAAGCCUAUUAAUGUUCGAUUUAUUGAGUUUAUGCCAUUUGAUGGUAAUGUUUGGAAUGUCAAGAAGCUGGUCCCUUAUGCAGAGAUACUAGAUAAAGUGCGUCAACAUUUCAAAGGUGUAGAGAGACUUCAAGAUCACCCUUCAGACACCGCAAAGAAUUUCAAGAUUGAUGGGCAUGUUGGAACAAUUUCAUUUAUUACAUCAAUGACAGAGCAUUUUUGUGCUGGUUGCAAUAGAUUGCGAUUAUUGGCUGAUGGCAACUUCAAAGUGUGCUUAUUUGGCCCCUCGGAGGUGAGCUUGAGAGAGCCUAUACAUUCUGGUCUUGAUGAUGCUGGACUGAAGGAAAUAAUUAGUGCUGCGGUUAAAAGGAAAAAAGCUAAACAUGCUGGGAUGUUUGAUAUUGCGAAGACAGCAAAUAGACCUAUGAUACAUAUCGGUGGCUGAGGAACCUAGGGAAGCACACAUGUGAAUUAUUUCAAUUCAUUCAUGGUUUUGAAUUGUUGCUAGCUCGAUUAAAAAUACCAUGGAUUCUUCUGAAUAUCUUUUGUAGAAGUACGGAUUAUUUGGCACUUAUUGGUCACAAAGGAUCAACGGCUGAGUUCCUUCUGCCCUGCAUGACAGCUAAGAUAAAUUGUUAGCUGGCUGUUGUUUUGUGACAAAGGUUGCACAAUUUAGCUCCAGAAAUGGGCAACUCAAAGGCAAUACAGUUGUUAAAAUAUAGUACCAUACUUGUGAAAGAGCAUUUCCGAACCUCACACUGUUCAGACUUCACAUGUUUGUACUUUUCAGUAUAUACGACAGACCAAACUGUUCAUGUUGUAUGUUGUAUCCUCUCAAAUAAUGCUACUGUUGUAAAGUCGUACACUAUUAAUUAUAAUGGCUUUUGAGUAUA